AGUAGCACAUACACUAAGAAAAAAAAUAUGAAUGAUACAGAGAAGAUUAGCAUGGCGGCUGGGCAAGGGUGACGCGAAUUCAUCAAGCGUUCCAUAUUAAAAUUUUUU